rnacentral:rRNA from 1 species
CAGGAUGAACGCUAGCGGCAGGCUUAACACAUGCAAGUCGAGGGGUAACAGAGAAAAGCUUGCUUUUUUGCUGACGACCGGCGCACGGGUGCGUAACGCGUAUGCAAUCUACCUUUUGCUAAGGGAUAGCCCAGAGAAAUUUGGAUUAAUACCUUAUAGUAUGAUGACUUGGCAUCAAGAUAUCAUUAAAGGUUACGGCAAAAGAUGAGCAUGCGUUCUAUUAGCUAGUUGGUGUGGUAACGGCAUACCAAGGCAACGAUAGAUAGGGGUCCUGAGAGGGAGAUCCCCCACACUGGUACUGAGACACGGACCAGACUCCUACGGGAGGCAGCAGUGAGGAAUAUUGGACAAUGGAGGCAACUCUGAUCCAGCCAUGCCGCGUGCAGGAAGACUGCCCUAUGGGUUGUAAACUGCUUUUAUACAGGAAGAAACACCUCUACGUGUAGAGAU